UGUGCUUUGGCCGCCCUGAGCGGGGGGAAGUGUCGUCCCUCAUGGCCCGCUGGGGCUCUCCCGGGACACGGUCCCGCUCUGAGGGGACUUUCGGGAGCCCCCCCCAGCUCUGCGGUGUGCUCCUGCCCUCCCUCAGCGAGGCCACGCCGAUGGCUUGCUGUGGGCCUGCAAUAUAAACUGCAUCUGGAUCUGGCUGUUCCGCGGGUAAAAUCCCCCCUGUAGAUCCCAUGGCCUAUCUUGAUGGCCGGAAUUGCAGAGGUGCGUGCUGGGAAGACGUCUGAGAGGAGAAAAAGGUGUUCUUUAGCGUAUAAUAUCAGAAAAAGUAUUGCAUUCUGGAUGUCAAUGGUGUCAGACACAUCUUUGAAUUUCUCUAGCCUAAGUAUGAGGCAAGAAGUGCCUUUACAUAGCUGGAAUAUAUGAAUAUACAUUGUUUUGUCUCUCCUACCAUCUGGCCUCUUCACUUGUUUUACCCAGUGAAGCCCCAGUCUUCUGCUGGGACUUUUUGACACUGGCAACAUAUAAAUAAUAAUAACCAUGAUAUUUGGGAAACUUUAUCUUUUCUUUUUCCCCCUUCCAAGACCUUCAUCUGCAUGGCUCAAGGAAGGAUAGCCUUUUUGUACUGAAGUGACACCGAAGCCUUCCACUUCCCUUGCAAGAAAUUUGUCCUGAAGUGUUUACAUAAUGAUGACAACGGAUUAUUGCAGCCCGUGUCAACUGACGCAUUUCAUGUCUCUGAAUCGAUGCAAACAUUGUGUUCGUUGCAUCAACAGAACUGCUCACAUGUCCUUGAUACAUUUUCAAGCAAUUUUUAUUUGGAUGUAAAAUGUCUGUCAGCCAACAUUUCAGCAGUAUCUAUCUGUCUUCCUGGGGGCUUAAGAUAUUGCUGAAGCAUUGGCUGAUAGUCACUUUACUACCAAAUAAAAACUGCUUGAAAAUAUAUCAAGGACAUAGGAGCUGUUCUCUUGAGGGAUGUGACGUGAUGUUUGUGCCCGUUUUUAUAGAUGUUAAACCAGUUUCUAUGAGGGGGCACUAUUAAGAAUUCAACAUCCUGGUAACUGUAUGUUUUGAAGGGAAUAAAUGGACUGUGCAUCU